rnacentral:rRNA from 1 species
AGUGAACGCUGGCGGUAGGCCUAACACAUGCAAGUCGAACGGCAGCACAGUAAUAGCUUGCUCUUACGGGUUGCGAGUGGCGGACGUGUGAGGAAUACAUCGGAAUCUACUUUUUCGUGGGGGAUAACGUAGGUAAACUUACUCUAAUACCGCAUACGACCUACGGGGGAAAGCAGGGGAUCUUCGGACCUUGCGCGAUUGAAUGAGCCGAUGUCGGAUUAGCUAGUUGGCGGGGUAAAGGCCCACCAAGGCGACGAUCCGUAGCUGGUCUGAGAGGAUGAUCAGCCACACUGGAAGUGAGACAGGGUCCAGACGCCUGCGGGAGGCAGCAGUGGGGAAUAUUGGACAAUGGGGGCAAGCCUGAUACAGCGAUAGCGAGUCGGUGAAGAAGGCCCUGGGGUUGUGAAGCCCUUUUGUUGGGAAAGAAACGCAGCAGGUUAAUACGCAGCUGUUCUGACGGUAACCAAAGAAUAAGCACCGGCUAACUUCGUG